GAUGAACGCUGGCGGCGUGCCUAAUACAUGCCAGUCGAGCGAACAGACGAGGAGCUUGCUCCUCUGACGUUAGCGGCGGACGGGUGAGUAACACGUGGAUAACCUCCCUAUAAGACUGGGAUAACUUCGGGAAACCGGAGCUAAUACCGGCUAAUAUCUUGAACCGCAUGGUUCCAUAGUGAAAGCCGGUUUUGCUGUUACUUAUAGAUGGAUCCGCGCCGCAUUAGCUAGUUGGUAAGGUAACGGCUUACCAAGGCAACGAUGCGUAGCCGACCUGAGAGGGUGAUCGGCCACACUGGAACUGAGACACGGUCCAGACUCCUACGGGAGGCAGCAGUAGGGAAUCUUCCGCAAUGGGCGAAAGCCUGACGGAGCAACGCCGCGUGAGUGAUGAAGGUCUUCGGAUCGUAAAACUCUGUUAUUAGGGAAGAACAAAUGGGUAAGUAACUAUGCACGUCUUGACGGUACCGAAUCAGAAAGCCACGGCUAACUACGUG
rnacentral:rRNA from 1 species